rnacentral:tRNA from 1 species
GGGAGUGUGCCCGAGUGGACAAAGGGAGCAGACUGUAAAUCUGCCGGCUCAGCCUUCGGUGGUUCGAAUCCACCCGCUCCCA